rfam:Schistosoma mansoni strain Puerto Rico chromosome 6, complete genome
GUCCAACUGACGAGUCCCAAACAGGACGAAACGUGCAUCCUGGAU